GGGGUGGUAGCUCAGUGGCCUAGAGCCGUCGACUCAUAAUCGAUAAGACGCUGGUUCGAAUCCAGCCCGCCCUA
rnacentral:tRNA from 1 species